rnacentral:lncRNA from 10 species
GACUGAGCCUCCCAAGUCCUGGAAAGCAGAGGGAGGAUGCCCCGCUCUGAUUUCCUCAGCACCUUUGCAGAGCUCUUGGUCUCCUGCCUGUGCCCUGCAGGCCUGACUCACCUUCCUCUCUGCACGUGAGACUCUGCACACCUCCUAUCGUGUUUAUUGACGCAUGGCAGCCUCAGCCCUCCAUUUCAUGUGACCUCCCAGCUUUGCUCUCUACAACACCUAACCCAGUCAGUUUCUGUGUCCUAAUUCAAAAUUGCUGGGAGAAAAAAAAGUCUGAUUGGCAUUUGAGUUUGAGAACGAAGGCUUGAAAGAGCCAGUUUGAAGAAUGGGAGCAAGGCCUGGCUAGAGCACUGAUCGACAAACUUUUCCUGUAAAGGGCUGGGUAGUAGAUAUUGCAGGCUUUGCAGGCCAUGAAAUCCACGCUGCAUUGUAGUGGCAUGCAAGCUGCCAUAGCCAAUCUGUAAAUGAAUGAGUGUGGCUGGGUCGCAUUAGCAUUUUAUUUCCAAAAAUAGCAGGUGGCCAGAUUUGGCCCAGGGACUAUAAUUUUCCAAUUCCUGAGAUACUAGAAACAGAAGUGUUUUGUUGUUGUUUUAACUAACUCUUUAUUGAAGUACAGCAAACAAAAGUAUACACAUUAUAGCAUUGUAUGAACUAUCACAGAGUGACUACACGCAUGUAACCACCAACUGUGUGAAGAAAACAUUGCCUGCAUCCCAGAAACUAUGUAUGCACCCUUACUAGUCACUAAUCUCACACUCCUCCCCAAAAGUAACUAAAACUCUGAUUUGUAUUGUCAGUGGUUUCUCCUGUUUUGGACUUUAUAUAAAUGAAGUCAUAUUGUAUGUAUUUCUACUUUCUGUCUAACUUCUUUGUAUGAUAUUCUCCCAGUG